GUGGAGUCGUGCUCGUGAGAGAGAAGGCCCGGGGAGCAGCUAUGCGUGUCAAGGAGUGCAUUCCACAGCCCAGGAGCGGCUACGGAGAAUGCCUACCUCUGAGUCGCUGCCAGAUGCACCAGUGGUAGCUGGAGAUGGACCUCCUCAGAUGAACAACAUGCGGUGAGGAUCAUGCAGAAGAAGACACUCUCUAAGAUAACCUGGACCUAAGCUGUCUAGCGCUUUAAAGGCACAUUGACAUUGAUGGAAGUUAUGCACAUGUUUAAAGAGGAGAAAGGAGCUUUAGAUCGUUUCCUGAUCAGAGUUUACGUAAGAUCAAAGGAGGCCUAACAGAAUGAAAGAAGAGCCAGAUGGCACUUUGUUGACGUUCUGUAAGACAGCACAUGAGAAUAGGAAAGAAUAUUUGGCAGCAUUUAAGGGGCACCCAAGCAAACAAAUCAUCUUCCAAGAAGCAAAUGUUGAUUUGUUUCCCUGCCCUUAGAAGUAGACCUUGGACCUGGAUUUUGGAUGCAGAACUGAAGCUGGUCUUUGAAUAAAGGUGUUUUAGACCAUGAAAUAUAAGGGCUGUUUUGCCCUUAUAAAAAAAGUAAUUUUCUGUAGGACAAGUUUCUUUGCUUCAUGACCACGUUAUUGUUUUUUGCUUUUAAAGCAUCAAAAUAUAAAGGAUCCCCCCAGCGUAAUUUAAGCUUCCAGGGGAAGAAAUGCUGCAUAAUGAAGGCCGCUAUGGGAGUCUUUGAUCCUUACCGUGACUGCUUUUGUGACAUUUUGACAUAAAGAACACAAGAUGCUUCCUGGAUGCUUUUUGCAUAUGUAAAACAACCACUUCUGAAUCUGCAGAGGAUCUGAAGAUGAUUAGGCCUCUCAUAAUCUGUUCCACCAUGUUGGCUGCAUUGUUUCAUUAGCCACACUAGCCCUAUCCACGCCUCAUGUUCAGCACUCAUACGACGGGUGCACAGUGUACACAGGUACAGAUCUGUACAUAGGUUACA